rnacentral:lncRNA from 1 species
AUGAUGACCAUUUUGUCCUUAGAGAGAGAAAGGGUAGGGAACAGCAGUAAAGCCCCAACCAUCCAAAUCGUCUCUUCGCCAGAGGUUGACCGCAUCUUCAUCCCUCUGCUGUGUUUGGUGUUGGAAGUGGUCCCGUCUCAGGUCCGUGUGUUCUGGCUCAUAGACGGGAGAGAAGAGAGUGGACUCACUGACUCCACCUGGACAGACAACAGUGAUUCAGCCACAGAGUUCACUAGGAACCAGAUUCUUGUCCAGGCACAGGAGUGGGACAGAGGAGCAGAGUUUACAUGUGUGGUGGAGUUUGAGGGGAAAAAUAUCACCAAAACACUGCUGCAGAAAAAUGAUUCCAAUGCCAUGUGCACAAUGUUGAUGUAUGGGGCCUCUGCAGCUGCUCUCCUCACCAUAAUAGUUGCUGUCACUAUCGCUGUGUGUCUGCACCGUGGUAAGAUCAAAUCAAUGGAUAAUGGGCCAAUACUGUAUAACAAACACCAAAUGAUCUUGUGCAAGACAAUUUAUACCAUAGUACUCAGAAAAGGAUGUUACGACCAUUGUAAUUUAGGGGAAACAUGCCCCAUCAAUUGGUACAUUUGCAGGAUAUACAUUUACAAGAUGUAGUCUUUUUUUAAUAACUUACUAGUAUCCACUCAAAACACUAAGUGCACGUUGUGAUGCCUAUGGUUAUGGGUAGUCAUGUAGGUAAACCAGUUCAGUGGUCAGACCUAUAUGGGUCAAGUUCUUUUGUUUUGUUACACCAUAGAAUAGGUGGCUAAAUAUGGGAGAAAAUAUUUUAUUCCAUUAGGUCAUUUUCUGAGGAAAUGGAAUAAAAUCGGAUUUCGUAGGCCUGUAUUUUCUCUUGCACAGAAAUGUUGAGAAUUAAAAUCUGUUGAUAAUUCUUGACUUUGUUCCUCUUUCCUCUCUUUCACACAAGUCAGGCUCUCUGUAGUGGUUACAGUGACCUUUAUGGCAAGUGUCUGCUACGUUUAGACAGCAGUCUACUCCACCUGCUUUUGAGAUCAGAGAGUCAAUGUUAACAAAUGGCCAUGGACAACAAACAUUAUCACUGAAUCAUGAUGCUUUCUUCAACCUGGAUAUUAAAUGUGUUAUUUUGAUUGUUUUUUCCAAUAGGGCAUCCUGUGGUUAUUGAUGCAGAUACAAGGUUUGAGUCUGACAUUCAAUCCAAAAUUUGAUUAUAGAAAAGCCUGUGAUUGCUAGAGUGUGAAAUCCUCUGUUUUAAUUUCAGACAAAGAGGCACAGGCACUGAGAACAAACGGGAUCAAUCUGGUAAUUAUUAUCAUUUUUUUUUUCAAUUUUAGGAUUAAUAAAAUACAACAGCCGAAUACAUUAGAAGGAUUUCAAAAUGGCUUUUAUCAACUUGGAGGUAUUUAGUGGCGGAAAUGUUUUAGCGUUUUCAUAAUCUUUUUAACUAUUCAGUUGAAAUAGAUUGAAUGAAUGCGCUUUAAUUAAAUAUUAUUUGUUCGCCAAAUUGCUCAAAAUAAGUCGUAGAGAAACACAUUGUGUACCAUUGUAGCACUUAGACACCCUUAGUUUUCACAGCAUCUCUUGAUGGCGUAUGCAGGGUCGGUUGAUUGAAGGAUUCCAGGUCUUUUUGAAGUAGUUUGUCGGUGGACGUCAUGGUGUUUAUGUUCUGAGUUCUGACGUUUGCAGGGAGACGUGGAGAAGCAAGAAGGCCAGUUAGAUCAUCGUUCUCGGUAAGUAGCUAUUGUAUUUGGGUUAAACUAUCAUUUUUGGUCGUGCUAAAUGUUUUUUUUUUUAUGUUGCAUGAUUUUAUAAUCUAUUGCCAUGCUAUCAGAUUUUCUCACAUAGUAAAGGUGGUGGAACUCAUUUUUUAUCUCCAUUUCGGCCCAAUUUAACUCUUGGGGACGGUUUACUGGGAAUAGAUUAAGCCAAUAGUCCUUGACUAAAAAAAACAUGUUAUAUGGACAUUUUCCAUUGAACAUGGUUUUUAGUUAAUAUUUUAAUAUUUUUUCAGGAAAGGCCCCAUAGUGUAUUCAUGUUGAAAAAACACGAAUGUUAUGAUCCGAACAUACUGCUCUGAAAUGUCUCGUACUGGUGUAUUACUUGUUAAGUAUAGUGAAAAUACAGUACUUAUAGGUGAUAUACCUGGUUGUGUAAAUACACAUUGACAUUUGUACAUGGAUUAUAUUUGUAAACAAACUCAAAUGAAUUGAGGCUAAACCUACUUUCACCCCUAGAGUGAUUGUUUUAGAUUACUCAUCUCAAUUGUGAAUGUAUUGAUUGACUGACGUAAUAUCACUUCUAUGGUAUGAAUCCUCACAUAUGAGAGCCUGGUUUACAUUUGCAUUAUUGCUGCCCCAAUUCAGUCCACAUAAAGUUUUAAAGCAGUUUUGUAUACUUGAAUAUAAAGCAUCAACUAUACUGUACCUAUUUCUGAACCCUUGAGAAUUAACUCCCUGGUGUUGAUCGUUCCACAGGAGGUCCAGUAUGCGACUUUGGACCAUAUCAAUUUUGGGAGACGCACAAAUACAGUUCUCCAAUCAGAUUUUGACAAAGAAAUUGCAUAAAAAUUCCUUGUAUUUUGUCAUGAUGUAGAUGCUUAUGAACUGCCACUGAAAACAUUUCAGAUUAUUAUUUAUGUAUAAAGCAAGAGCCGGUGUCCGCAAUUGCUAAGUACUUUCUUUUAUAUUGGAAUUCAACUGUGGAGUAGUCUCCCAUUAGUCAUAAAUCUGUCCCAGUCCAGAAAGGCUUUCAGAGGUCAGGUUAGAUCCCUUCCGUCAGGAAAAGUGCACAGGUCUAAAUAGGAAAAUUACUGAAUAUUCUUGAAUUUUGUAUGGAUUGUGUAUUUUUUAUGGUGUAGGCUAGUUAGGGACUUGUCACAGGAGGUUGGUGGCACCUUAAUUGGGGAGGAUGGUUUCGUGGUAUUGGCUGGAGUGGAAUAGUAUGAAAUACAUCAAACACAUGGAUUGAUGCCAAUCCAUUUGCUUUGUUCCAGACAUUAUUAUCAGCCGUUCUCCCCUCAGCAGCCUCCACUGGCCCAUGUAUUUCCAUGGAUUUUCUUGUGUUGUGUCCUGUUUUUGUCCUACACAGAAGACCACAUUGGAAAUAAGUGUUCUUACACUAUUGUGUGUCAUCCUCUGGGAUUCUUUGUACUUUUAAAACUGUAAGAAUUGUAUUAUCCAAAAUCAAAUCAAUCAAUCAAUCAAUAUGGCUUGUAAAUGAAUGUCUUUGUUUUGUUUUUUUCUUCGUUUUAUUACCUCUUAUCUAAUUUACCAUUUCCCUGGAACCCUUAGUGCCAAACAUGCCUCUGUUUUUGAACAGAUAUCUAAAACAUAUGUUUAAAAACUUUGCUUGAAUGCAACAACAAAAAAUAUGAUGUUAAAAUGUUCAAUCUCAAGCGCACUUUGACAAAGUGUACGUCUUGAUUUCUCUGACCAAAAUGAGAAGGCUCCUGCACAGACUGCAGAUUGUGGAACAUGACAAAGUGUCACAGGUAACAUGUGUAGGACUGUAGCCUUCGGAACAGAAGCUGACCACAGUAGUUUAAGCUUUAGCUGCAUCUCUCUCUCGCUCUCUUUCUCUGCGAGGAGUGGUUUUUCUGAGCAUGAUAUGCUUUUGGACAGACACCGCUUUGAUCAAAUCUGUGCUUUGCUUAUAACAAACCACUUGCGGAUUCUAUAUUCAGACUUUUUCACCCAAUAGCGCAAUAUACUAGAUAGCAAACCACGAAAGUAAAAAGGUUAUCAGCUCCCAUCCGAUCACCAAACCUCAGCAGCCUUCACGAAAUGAAUGAAAGUCAGACAAUAGAUGGAAUGUGCUGUUAUUAUUGUAACAGUUCAUUUUCUACAACAACAGUAUUUUAAAGGAUUGGAAAAUAGUUAUGCUCCCACUUAGUUCUGAAUGGGAAAUAAAGCACUCUGGCCGAUGAGUGACAAGGAUCUGCAUUCCAUCCAAUUCACACAUGAUUUAAUAAAAGGUUUAGUAGUUUUCAAUUAAGUGUAGCUGGAUUCAGUCAUGAUGAAAUCAAGUAAGUAAUGGCAAGACAUAACAAAAGUGUUACAAUGAAAUGUUAAUGUACUCUUAAUACAAAGGACAGUAGUCGUUUUUGGUAAGUAAAAAGUUAUGACUUUAGUGAACUGANAUUAUACACUUCUACAGUAUGAUACCCAUCACAGAAAUAAUUAUUUUGUCAAAUAAGACGGCUACUUUUUAAAAUAUUGACACAGAUAACUUGGUUAACGAAGUUUCCUACCUAAUGUGUUUGUAUAGUUAACUUCAGCCUACCUGAUGUUUGAAUAGGAAGGAAAAAACUACAGACUAUCUGAGUGACAGGACAGGUAGAUUUGAAGUAAACAUUCACAUCUACUGGAUGUUUGGAGACAGUGACACAAGAUGAGAAAGAAGAGCAUUUCAUCAUGACAGUACUUGAAGGAUAGAUAGCACUUUAUGGAAGCACUAGGCUCCUCUAACACAUAUGUUUUAUGCAUUUUGCAUUUAACAUCUUCCUAGUAGGUAUGAAGCACUCCGUAUCUCUCAAAGCACUUUUAUUCUGAAUGUUGGGUUACUGCAGUUUUCACAAUGAAAGCCCUCCUCCUUUCUUUAGUUUGGGGAUUUUCUGUUACUUUUCUCAAGUUAGCCUGAAUAAAAAACUAAUGAACACAGAUAGCACUUUCAGUUAGUCUGCUUUUUUUGUUUGACAUUUUUCUUUAUUUAUUUUUUUACUUUUGACUAUGAUUCAGGCAACAUACGUGACUACAUUGAACAGAAAUAUAAACGCAACAUGCAACAAUUUCAAAGAUUUUACUGAGUUACAGUUCAUAUGUGUAAAGAAAUCAGUCAAUUGAAAUAAAUUCAUGAGGCCC